rnacentral:sRNA from 1 species
UUGGUACUCAGACCACAGGACCCAGUGGGGUAGGAUGCUGUACACCAGGCCGGCCGCUCCUGCCGUGCAAAUGUUCCUCAGCAGCACAUAGCACCUAUCGGGUCCAGGAGCCGGCUGUGCACAUCCCAGGACAGGAGCCCCUGACGGCGUCCAUGCUGGCUGCGGCGCCCCUGCAUGAGCAAAAGCAGAUGAUUGCUGGCUGGCAAGAUCACGGGCAUGCUGCUGGAGAUUGACAACUCGGAGCUGUUGCUCAUGCUGGAGUCUCCAGAAUCCCUCCAUGCCAAGAUAGACGAGGCAGUGGCCGUGCU